rnacentral:tRNA from 1 species
GUGAGGCGGCUGGACUUCAAAUCCAGUUGGGGCCGCCAGCGGUCCCGGGCAGGUUCGACUCCUGUGAUCUUCC